UAUGGUAGCCAGCCGCCGCGGUAAUACGGAAGGUCCGGGCGUUAUCCGGAUUUAUUGGGUUUAAAGGGAGCGUAGGCCGGAGAUUAAGCGUGUUGUGAAAUGUAGAUGCUCAACAUCUGCACUGCAGCGCGAACUGGUUUCCUUGAGUACGCACAAAGUGGGCGGAAUUCGUGGUGUAGCGGUGAAAUGCUUAGAUAUCACGAAGAACUCCGAUUGCGAAGGCAGCUCACUGGAGCGCAACUGACGCUGAAGCUCGAAAGUGCGGGUAUCGAACAGG
rnacentral:rRNA from 1 species